rnacentral:misc_RNA from 1 species
GUACAAUUUAACUAGUAUCUCAACCCAUAGACCCAGGACCACACUUUUGCAUAGGAAUCUCGCUCGUAUCUAUUUUUUGAAUUGUCUGCAGUUCUGAAUAUAGAGUCAGCACCCACGUGAAGAACAGAUAGAAUAGGACACCAUAACAAUGUAAAUCUCAUGUUUCCCUCUGUACAUGAUGUAAUAUUUUCACAUAAUGUUUUUUAAUCAAGAAAGUGUCAAACAGUUAGAGGAUUGAUGAUUGCGGACCUGUAAAAUGUCCAAUUCUUGAUCAUGGGGUCUUUGACA